ensembl:misc_RNA 7SK 7SK RNA
GGAUGUGAAGGCAGUCUGACAUCUGUCACCCCAUUGAUCGCCAGGGUUGAUUCGGCUGAUCUGGUUGGCUAGGUGGUGGUCCUUUUCCUUCCUCCGUGCCCCCAAAGCUGUGCACUCAGUUGAACCCCAGUAGAUGAGGGCCACUUCCUCGGUGAAGUGCAUACAAAUAGCUGCACUCCCCUGCUAGAACCUCCAAAUAGGCUGUCACUAUAUGAAUCUCCCCUGUGUGUCUGGGCUUGUGAGACCGUCACCUCAUGUGUUUACCCUUUGCCUCUUUCUGCAGCAAAGCUGUGGAGAGCUUGGC